AAUUAUCUGACUUUAAUUCUCCAUGUUUUUGUAUUGUAAAUAUGUAUAUAAUGGUUUUUUGUACAAAUGUAUAUUGAUAUUUGUUCUCCCACACUUUUUGGACAUAAGGGACUUUUUUCCUAUAUAUAUGGACUGAGGAGAUGGAUGAAGUUCUCUCAAAAUGUAUUAUUCCUACGCAUGGGAAUAUAUGCAUAGGCGCAGGAAGACAGAUAUAAACACAGUGGUACUACAUAUUCGUCCAACUUAGUAAUUUGAGGUAUGCGCCAUGACGUCAUAGAGGCGCGCCAAGCGGGUAGACGAACGUAAGCAUCACAUAGGCGCGACC